rnacentral:rRNA from 1 species
UACGGAGGGAGCUAGCGUUGUUCGGAAUUACUGGGCGUAAAGCGCGCGUAGGCGGCUUUGUAAGUUAGAGGUGAAAGCCCAGGGCUCAACCCUGGAAUUGCCUUUAAUACUGGCGGCCUUGAGUAUGGCAGAGGUGUGUGGAACUCCGAGUGUAGAGGUGAAAUUCGUAGAUAUUCGGAAGAACACCAGUGGCGAAGGCGACACACUGGGCCAUUACUGACGCUGAGGCGCGGAAGCGUGGGGAGCAAACAGG